rnacentral:rRNA from 1 species
UACGUAGGGGGCGAGCGUUGUCCGGAGUUACUGGGCGUAAGGCGCUUGUAGGCGGUCCACCAAGUUUGGGGUGACAGUUGCCGACUUAAUCGGCAAAGUGCCUCAAAGACUGGCGGACUUGAGGGCCACAGAGGGACAUGGAACUCCAGGUGUAGUGGUGAAAUGCGUAGAUAUCUGGAGGAACACCGGUGGCGAAGGCGGUUCUCUGGGCCUGUACUGACGCUGAGGAGCGAAAGCGUGGGGAGCGAACAGG